rnacentral:rRNA from 1 species
GUCCUAGCCGUAAACGAUGGGCACUAGGUGUUGUCGGUAUCGACCCCGGCAGUGCCGUAGCUAACGCAUUAAGUGCCCCGCCUGGGGAGUACGGCCGCAAGGCUAAAACUCAAAGGAAUUGACGGGGCCCGCACAAGCAGCGGAGCGUGCGGUUCAAUUCGAUGGUACGCGAAGAACCUUACCCAGGCUUGACAUGCAGGUGGUACCGAUCCGAAAGGGGAGGGACCCGCAAGGGAGCCUGCAAUGGUGUUGCACGGCCGUCGU